rnacentral:rRNA from 1 species
UACGUAGGGGCAAGCGUUGUCCGGAUUAUUGGGCGUAAAGAGCGUGUAGGCGGCCAUGUAGGUCCGUUGUGAAAACUCGAGGCUCAACCUCGAGACGCCGAUGGAAACCAUAUGGCUAGAGUCCGGAAGAGGAGAGUGGAAUCCUGGUGUAGCGGUGGAAAUGCGCAGAUAUCAGGAAGAACACCCGUGGCUAAGGCGGCUCUCUAGUACGGUACUGACGCUGAGACGCGAAAGCGUGGGGAGCGAACAGG